CUAUGAGUUUGUACUGUCCAGGAGAAUACUCAGCAGUGCAAGACGCACAUUUCUGGGGAACAAGGCUGGGACUAAGAAUUUGCAGGUAUUGCCCUGUAUGUAGUUCAUGAGUGGCUAGGAGUGUGUUUACAUGCUGAAGGCUGCGUGAGCAAACCAAGAGUGGCUGUUCUGGCAGUAGAGCCGUGAAAAGGCAUCCCAGACUAGAGAGUUCAGGGAUGCUGCUGUUCAGCAGACCAGACUGUACCCUGGGGAAUGUCUCACACACGAUGUUGUAUCAUGAAUCUGACAAUUCAGCCAGCAAGGGACAUGUCAGAGGGAAGAAGAUGGCUGAAGCCCCAUCUCGGGAACAUGUCAGAGGCCAAUCUGGUUAGACUUCAGGAGGGUUCACAUAGUCAUGGGAAUUAGGACAGACUUUGGAUCAGGGGCUAGAUCCCAUCAGCUCUGUCGUCCAAGGAGACCAGUGCAUCGUUGUUCUCUGCAGUAGGUUUUCUAGAGCUGUUCCCAGUCUAAUUUUGCAUGACUCCAGCGACAUUUACAAUGUGUUUUCCCUUUGCCAUGAAGCAUUUUGGAAAGAGACACUAUCUGUGCACUGUGCUGGGACCCCCUGCCAGCACAAUGAUACAUGCAGAUAUCCUAGAGGAGCAUCCCAGGGAAAGCAAAUUCCAGCUCUGCUCUUCUCCAGCUGGUGCAGCUGUGUGUGGUGCCUCCUUUAUAGCUCACCUGACAGAGCCAUGGGCCACGGGGAUCUUGGUAAGAAUCUGGGUAUUGUGCAUGAUAUGAACAGAAUGAGCCUGGCUGCUGGGGAAGAAACACCACUAAAGGAUUAAAUCUCACUCUAGUGUGAGAUUGCCACUAGCAUGUAGAAUCUAACUGGAUAUACAGAUCCUUUUUGCUGAGAAUUACUUUGUAAGACUAUGAUUGUGUUGCCACAAAAACCCAGAUGAAUUGUAGUUUUCCUAACAAAUGCAAGUGGAUCGUGGUGGAGGGCAGUAAUGGAGCUUGUGUGUGUGAUAGAGCUCCAGUGUCCAUCCCCUGGGAAGGCGAAUCUCUCCCAUGGGGCACGUUUCUCCAUUUGUCUGGAAUGACUUAAAAUAUUGUCAUUGAAUCACUUCUUUCAGGAAGAGAGGAGCCUUAGAAGUGAAGAAUGAAGUCUUGUUAUUGUCUAAAGUGUGUUAUAAAGGCUCACACGUAAUGUACGUACUUUAUGCAGCAUCCUCCAGUCAAGGAGCUCUAACUGCUUUGCAGAUGUUAAUUAAACCUCACAACCUUCUAUGAGAGGGGCUCCACGGAGGCCUGUCUGCCCCUCACAGCCCUGUCUGUGUCUGAAGCCUGGGAUUCUGUGACAUGCUCUGACUGUCUGGAGAGGAGAUCAAGUUGUGAGAGGCACAAAUCCUGGGGAGGCUAUGAAAGGAUGGAGGAAGGCGAUUGUAAAGCAUCUGCGUGGACCUGUUGACAUUUUGAAGGGUCAAGUAUGGAUUUAUGCUGGAGAGAAGUACAACCGAUGCCCUAUUUGCUCUCCAAACUCUCGUGGAGAGGUUCAGAGAAAAGAGAUGGCAACCGGGCAGGGUUUUUAUGGGCUUGGAGAAGGUGUACAUAUCAGAGUUUGCAACAGAAAGAUGCGUUGAAAGGAUAGAGCCAUCUUAUCCAGGGAGAGAAACUCACUGAAGCACAAGCCUUGGCACAGGCACAGAACCAGGCAUCCCAGGGAGAAUUAUCGGGUGGGGAUUAACUCAUGCAUGUGGAAGAUGCACUGGGGGAAGGACUGUGAAAAGAGCUCAACAUGUUGGCGACUAAGUAUUUUCUGAAAACUUGGUCGUAUGUGUCACAAUGAAGGUUGCUUGGGACUGAGUUUUUGAAUUCCACCAUUCCAGAAACUCAAAUGAAACAGUCCUUGGAAAAGGAAAAAGACAAGGAAAGAAACGAUACGAGUUGUAAGUAGCAGAAACCCAGCUUCGUGCCUGGUUAAGGAUGGGUCAGUCCAGGAUGAUUGCAAUUACUGUGGAGGGAUGUGGAUUGUGAAGUGGGAGACAGCUGUUACAAGGACCCCGACUAUUGUUGUCUGAUUAUUUUUCAUGCAGUUACUCUCCCCAAGAUCUAUGGUCUGGAUAUAGCUUGUCCAUCUCCUCUAGAGCUAUGGGGAAGAGAAGGGACAAGGUGUCGUUAGCCUGCAAAGGGCAAUCUUGUCACAGCUCCUGCAAAUCAUAGUAAACUGGUAAAGUGUGAGAUG